UGCGCCCUGCGCACGCGCGGCCCCCAGGGUGGCCGGGAACGCGCCGCCGCGGCGACUCCCCUGACCUUUGGCGGGUGGCUCGUCGCUACUUUGCUGCCGCUGCUUUCCCCUCCCUUACCUUCCCCUCCUUUACCUCCCCCUCGCGCGCCUCCGCUCCAUCACGCCCAGUUUUACAGAAACUGGAAAUGCGGGCCUGGUUUACGCCAGGAAUUUGAUGAGACCUGCCUCUCCAUCCCCAGUAGUGCGCCGUUACCACCCUUUUAAAGGAGCCCAGGAAGAAGAGGAACGGCCCCAUCGCGGAGCGGGUACACAAAACCGAGGGCGCUGUGGUUAUGUAGACGAAAACAACAGUUGGGAACUCCGAAGAGGUGUAGAGAAAUGUGGGAAGAAUGACUACCAAUUGAAAACCUUUUCCAAGCCAGUGUUUUCCAAACUAUAGGGAUGGUGAAAUCAGUUUGGGAGAUCGAGACCACCACGUUUUUUUUUUUUAAUGAAACCGAGGGAAAAAAGAACACAAUAGAAAAAUCUCAGAAUGAAUCACAUAUAAAGGAGUUGUUUUGAGAAAAUUUUAUUCCAGUCUUUUGUACCUAUGCGUCCGGAGUAGUGAUAUACAAUGUAUUUUUUAUGUGGAUGUGAUCAAACAAAAAGUUUGAGAAACACUGUUCUUUGCAGAGAAAUAACAACCGUGCAUUGUAUUAUUGCUGGCCUUCCUCCCAGAAUCAGAAGGGCUUUACGGAUUACAGCAUUCCACUCCUCUCUGGCCUUAUGACACAGAAAUCGUUAUUCCUGGCUUUUAGGCUGGCUUAUGUACAGUAACUUAGUGAGUGCCUGUCUUCAAUUGAGAAAACUGGAGAAAGCCAAGUGUAUCAGUCGUUAAAACCUUGCAUAAUACACACACAUAAUAAAGCAGCCCACGUGUUAACAUAGCCCACAAAACAGUGUUUUCUCAAUAUAAAUUGGUAGUUGCCUACAGAGUACAAGAAUCACCAGGACCAGAUACAGUAAUGAUGUGGGGAGUAUGUGUGUGUGUGUGUGUGUGUGUGUGUAGGGAUGUUCAACUGUCUAAAUUUUGCUAAAGUGGAACUUCUACUAGAUUCUCUGUUUGCUUCAUAGAUAUUUUCAUUGUAAUUAUUUAACAAUUACGUAAGUAGGCACGCUUCGCACAGAAGAUGCAAGGAUGACAGAUCAUAAUCUCCAUUUUCCAGAGGAUGGUAGAGAAGAAAAGCAUGAAAAAAAAAAACUAUAAAUGUGGUAAGUGCCACAUUGGAGAUAUGAACAAGGCACUGUGACAGCAUAAAAGAGAAAAUGCUUAGUUUUGUCUAGAGCUUCCAAUUAAGGCUUUACCCAGAAGAUGAUUUUGUAGCUGAAUCCUAAAGAACCAGAGAAGGAAUCACUCAGGAGGACAAGAGGAAAAAUUACUAAUUCACUAAUAAAUUGCAUAGUAAUGUAAAAGUGUUAGGAAUCUUGGGAGAAAGUGACUGUAUCAUCCUGGAGUUUGUAGCAGUGAAGGAAGGGCAUUCAAGGUUAGUCUAAAAUAUAGUCUAUUUAGGAAAUUAUAUUUCAGAGGAAAGAUAUAUUUAGGAAGUAGACUAUAGUUCAGAGGAAAGAUAAGAAUAACUCAUUGGGAAAGAUGUUCUAAAAGGUACCCUUGUUCAAGAAGCAUGAGUGAUUCUAAAAAAAUGAAAUUAAUUAAUACGAGCUCAAAUAAGAUUAGCUAUUCAUAAAGCCCAUCAGAUAAAGACCACCAGGGACAAACUUGUAACUCAACAAAGAGGUUUAUUAGCUUGCUGCAGCAAAGGACAUCACACAGCAGAGGAAUUGUGGGCAUGUCUCCAAAAAAGGGAAGAAAUGGGGGUCAUUAUAGUAUCGGGAAGGGAGGAGUUUAGAUAGAAUCUAAAUGAAAUAGUACUUAAUAGGCUCAGAGCAAAUCAGAUCUAUAUGUAAAGGGGUUAGUAUCAGACCCGGCUUGAGAAGCAGACUCUGGAUUCUAUUUCCUUAGAAACAUAAAUUUAAGAUUAAUGUAGAAUAUUGUGUCCAAAAACCCCUUAUCUGAACCUCUUCAUUGUACAUUGAGGCUUCUUCUCUAAGUCAAAGUGACUCGGAUGGUGUACAUCCUCCAUGCAUGAAAGGGAUCUUCUGUUCUUAUAUGAGUUCCAAACAACGAAGUUCCUGGGAAUCUAGGAUUUUAGAGAACAACGUUCCUCAGCACUACAUCUUUUGAUAAUUAACCAAAGCAGUUUUUCAGGUUCACACUUUAAAAUACUAAAUAAUUAAGGAAAAUGUGAUUUUAUUGGCAGAGCUCCAUGAGCUCUGAUUUUCAAAGAAUUUGAGUUAUUGGGAACAGGGAGGAGAGGGGCAUGUGGAGUUAGGGAAUCUAGAAAGCCUCUUAAAGCGAUAUUGUGUUCACCAGCCUGCAACAUUGUCCCCACUGAUCCUUGCUUCCUGGUAGUCAUGACUGUGUAAUCUCCCUCACAUCAGAGCUGGUCUGUGUGACUGCUCCGCCACAAGCCCAGCUGGGCUCCGACAAUGGGAUAUCAUGCCGAGAGACCGAAGAAACGACCCAGAGACUGCGAACAAGGCACACAGGUUUAUUGGGCCCUACUUAUGAGGAGGCGGCAGGCUGGACAGAAGUAUGCGCCCUCCCACAACCGCUCCCUAAGAGAAGCUUGCUUAAGUAGGCAGAGGAACAAAGGCUGCAUGUUUGCCAAAGGGCUGUCCUUGGUAUGACCAGCGUUCCCAGAAAAGUAGCUCACAUGGAGGGGCUCUGUGUCUCCCUGUAAGACCAAUGUUCUUCUCGUGGGAUAAGGGAGAAUCCAGGCUGGCCAGGCCCAGAUUGUUACAAAUCCCAGUAGCUGGGCCGCCUGCUCAGAAGGGAGCCGGAAGGACAACUGGUUGCAAUGGGCCUGGGAGUUUCUGCUGAGCAAGCAAGGCCCAGGCCCUACAGUGACCAAGAGUAUGGUGAAAGUGUUGACCUUAAAGAGACAGCCAGUUAUUUCUCCAUCAAAAAUCGGUUUAUUCAAGAUCAACAAAGAAUCGCGAUUCAGUAUCUGCAACCUUGGCAAGUCACGUGCAAGUUCCUAGCAGCAAGAGGAGAAACUCUUUUAUAGAGGGGAAGAGGAAGUCGGCGGGGCUACUGUAAAGAAAGAGUCCAUUGGAGGAAUUGAGAGUUUGAAGUGUAGUGACUUUUCAUUGGCUAAAUUGUGACAGCAUCUCAUUGGCUAAGCUCUUGCCAGCCAGAAGAGGAAGUCUUUCUUCUUCCUGUGGGGCUCUGCCCUGUGGUAGAGCUUGAGAGCUCCGAACUCUGUUCUAAAUGAGGUUUCUGUUUAUUACUUUUAACAGAGGUGAUGGUAAGUGACCUCUGAGGCCAGAUCGUAAAAAAGUAUUGUGGCUUCCACCUUGGUCUCUUGGGUUCCUUGUUCUUGGGGAAUCCAGCUGCCACAGAGAACGUUCAAACAACCCUGCGGAAGAACGGAGGACUCCCACCAAGCGAAGGGAUCUUCUGCCCGCAGUCAAGCCUCCAGCGGCUCUCCCCUCAUGAGUAGUCCCCAGCAGGAUCGCUCAGCCAAAAUGCUCCUAAACUUCUGGCUCGCAAAAACUGUGGGCAAUAAUCUGCAGUCUUGUAUGAAGAGCAUUGGUGGUGGCUAACAUCUUAGAUUUCAGCAAAGCAUCCGUGCAUUACCCACAAGGAGAGGACAUACUGUGUCAGGAUGCAGGGGAACAGAGUACCAGGAACAAGAAGACCUAGACUGUAAAUCUGACUCUACAGCUAACCUGUUGGUGAUUUUGGCGAAUUCAUUUAAACUCUCUCGGCCUUGUUUACUCAUCUGAGAAGUGAAGAUAUUGAUCAAGAUGAUAUCUUCAUUCCCUCUGAGUUCUAAAAUUCUUUAGGCCGUGUGAGGUAUAAGGUUCUGAAAUCCCUGUGCUAUGGAAUGUGAACUGUCUUACAAAAUAUUCCCUUCAUUCUAUCCCCAGAGCUCAGCAUGAUAAUCCUAGUACAUAACAGGUAUUUAAUAAAUGUUUUUAAAUCAGAAUUCACCUGACUGAAUGGUUAUAAUAAUCCUCCGGGGUGAAUAGUAUUCUUCUCUUCUUUCACUUAAGAUGGUCUUGUAGAGGUUGAAUUUACCUACCUAAUAAGUAAGAGAAUACCAUGGUUUGUCUGCUCCCAGGUCAAGGCACUACAUAAGCAAAUUUAUUUCAAUGCAGAGUAUCUGUUAAAUUUCUUAGCAACAAGAUCAAUUUUAAUCUAAAAGCAAAACUAGAACAGUGUUACAGUGUUCUGAAUUAUGGAAUAUAUUUGCUCAUUGACUUUUUUGUAAGACACUAUGAUAGGCCUUGUGUUGUUUGCUGAAAAAUUAGUACUUUGGCCCUCGCCUUUGAGAGACUUACAGAUCAGUUUGGAAAUGAGUUGUACAUAUGUGAACAAUGAGAAAUGGAUAUAAAACACAUUACAAAACAUGCAAGAUUAUCAGGCUGAUUGUUAUCCCUAAACCCUUUGCCCCUUGCAGAUGUCAGUGAUUAGACACCGUAAUUGAUCUCUUAUUAAUUUGCUUUCACUAAGGGAGAAGACAAUAUUUACUUUGUAUUAAAAACCAGGUUAAGCAUUUCUGGCAGUUCUGGACCAGUCAGACUGCUGCCCUUGAAGAUCUCUCUUUCCUAUAGGCAAGAUCGCUCCCUUAGUAUGUGUUAACAUUUAGAUCUUUAUUUUGUUUCCUAGAUCCAUCUUUGUCCCAGAUACUGCGUUGACUCCCCUCUUUGUUCCAAAUUUCUUAACUUAAAGCUUAUUUCACCUCAUUCCUACUCCAAACAAAGAAUUUAACUCCCUGGGUAAGCCCUACUCCAGUGUCGUACAGUAAGGAAUCGAUUCCCUCUUAUCAGAGAAAUGCUUACGAUGGUGUCACAAUACUGGAUUCUUUUCUGUAGAGGGUAUAAAUGUUCCUAAAACAGUAUGUCCAAAUAGCUUUUCUUAAACUGCUUACAGUACAACUAAAUUAUUGAAAAGAAUGUCUUGGGGAAAAUUCAGCAAAUUCCUCACUACUGAAUGCUUUCAAUUAAAAUACAAAUGGUAUUUUUCUUCCUUAAGCUAGAUUUUGAGUAAGAAGACUUCAAACAAAUCACCAUAGACACAGAAUUCUGAAUUCACUAAUUUAUUCAUAGCUGCUCACCUGUUUACAUACGUAGACAGCCACAAUCACACUGCCUCCUCCACACGGUUUGGAGUUUCCAUAGAUUGGAGGGCUUAUUCGGGGGGAUCACUUCUAGAGGUGCUGAAGUGAAGACAAGACAACUUUGACUAUAAUUUCAAGAAAAGAACGGAAGGUCAUCUGCCAAGAGUCUUUUUUUAUUUUUUUGAGGAAGAUUAGCCCUGAGCUAACAU